rnacentral:rRNA from 1 species
UACGGGGGGGGCAAGCGUUGUUCGGAAUUACUGGGCGUAAAGGGCUCGUAGGCGGCCAACUAAGUCGGACGUGAAAUCCCCAGGCUCAACCUGGGAACUGCGUCCGAUACUGGAUGGCUUGAAUCCGGGAGAGGGAUGCAGAAUUCCAGGUGUAGCGGUGAAAUGCGUAGAUAUCUGGAGGAAUACCGGUGGCGAAGGCGGCAUCCUGGAUCGGCAUUGACGCUGAGGAGCGAAAGCCAGGGGAGCAAACGGG